UGAUUCAAAAUAUCUGAGAAUACCUUCUUCGAGUGGACAGAGGUACUUCCACAAAAACGUGUGCUGUUGCCAGAAGGAUGAAGCAGAUUGGUUGCUAUUUUGGAAAGAUUUUCUACAAUCAUUCCCCAACUUAAUUUUUGAUCACGUUUCAUCUGAAAGUCAAGAAGUUGAAAUCUAUGGCUGAAUGCAUCUCCCAGAAUCGCCUGUUAGAAAUGAGCAAAGCCAUCAGAAAUCUGAGACAGUGUCUGCCCCAAGUCAACUUACAUGAAUGAAACCUGAACUGAAAUAAAUGUUAACAAUGAGAUCAUCAAUAGGAAUCAUGCUUCUCCAGGAAGGCUAGCUACCUUUCUUACCGUGGGAAUGCUCCAUAAGUAUUUGCAUCAACAACAAUACAUGUUUUAGAGACCUGGAGAAAUGAUUACUGCAGUGUGGUAUUUGGACUUCUGCUUCUGUGAAGAUCUGACUGAAUGACUCAAGGAGGUGAGUUUUAUGGACUGCUAAAGGAGGCCUUGGAGAGUGCUGUUGUGGAUAGCAAUGAGGGUGACUCAUCUGGCUAUAGAGCUGGAAAUGGAAAUGUAAUAUUAAAGAAAAUAAAUAACAAGACUGAAAAGAGAAUUAAAUGAGGAAAUGAGGCGUGAAUGCGUGAGACAGAGGUUAGUCUACUGCAUGUAAGUAGAUAUUGCAUAAUUAUUUGGGAAGCAGAACUUAGUAAGGGAACUGUAGGAUUAUGAGUGAACUAGAGCACUCUAGGAUAUGCCUAGCAAUUUCUUUAUUGCAGCAGGUAGAUCUGCCACUCUGUGGUGUAUAAGGGAUAGCUUGAAAACCCCUUUCUUUGAAAAAAUGCAUUAUGAGUAGUGAUUAAUUUGUAUUGCUUACGUAUGUGUUACAAUGAAUUAUUUGCAUUGCCUAUGAGCAGUUUAUCAUAUUCAGAUUUCCAAAAUCAUUCUUCUAAAGAAAAAACAAACAAAAAAACCAUAUAAAUUUACUUUAAAACACAAGAAAUAGGUCUUGAAACUUAAGCUUUGUUGCAUGAAAAUCUGAACUUAGAGCUAGCAAUACUUGAGAACUCUUACACUUUUACAAAUUGAUCUGUAAAGGCAGCUGAGACUGAAUUUGGUGCACAAAGUUACUUUUCUACGUCAUUUGACAACUGACUGUACCCUUACUGCUGCAGAAAUGCUUUGCUUUUCCUAUGUCAGUUACUCAAAUGUCAGUACAGCAUCAGGUCGUAAAACAAACCCCUCUCCAAAAUUUCAUGCAAAAAUUCAUUAGAAAGAAUGAAUAUUUUAAAUUUUAACUCCAGUAAAUGUAAUAUAUAAUAUACUAUAAUAUAUAUAAAAUAAUAUAUAAUCAAACUAUAUCUAUAAUAACUAAAUAAUGUGUAAGGAUGUGCUACUACUCAUAAAAGCAUUGUUGCUGUGAAGUCUGUAAGAGGUUACAUAAACAAAAGCAAUUAAGAAGAAAUUCAAAAUAAAACCUAUCUUUCAAAACUCUGGGCUUGUGUAUACAUGUAAGCUACAAACAGAGGACAAAACUGCUCAAUAAGUUUCAUGUGAAACCUUGUUAGCAAUUUGUAUCAACAAAAUAAAUAGAGGUUAAUUGAGGUGCGCUCAUAAACAUUUUGCUGUCUGAGCAAAUAGUUUUUAUUUGUAAAACUAAUUGAGCCUUUUGUGGUUUGUUUUUUG